AACUAACGCUACUAUUGAUACAGUUUCUGUACUAUAUUG
rnacentral:misc_RNA from 1 species